rnacentral:rRNA from 1 species
GACGAACGCUGGCGGCGUGCUUAACACAUGCAAGUCGAACGGAAAGGCUCCAGCUUGCUGGAGUACUCGAGUGGCGAACGGGUGAGUAACACGUGGGUAAUCUGCCCUGCACUCUGGGAUAAGCCUGGGAAACUGGGUCUAAUACUGGAUAUGACCUUUCUCCCUAUGGGGUUUGGUGGAAAGUUUUUCGGUGUAGGAUGAGCCCGCGGCCUAUCAGCUUGUUGGUGGGGUGAUGGCCUACCAAGGCGACGACGGGUAGCCGGCCUGAGAGGAUGGUCGGCCACAUUGGGACUGAGAUACGGCCCAGACUCCUACGGGAGGCAGCAGUGGGGAAUAUUGCACAAUGGGCGGAAGCCUGAUGCAGCGACGCCGCGUGAGGGAUGACGGCCUUCGGGUUGUAAACCUCUUUCAGCGGGGACGAAGCGUAAGUGACGGUACCUGCAGAAGAAGCACCGGCUAACUACGUG